rnacentral:lncRNA from 11 species
UCCAGCUCGUCUGCUUUGCUUCCGUGUUUUCAGAGCUUUCAAAAUCUGACCCAUCAGUCCACCAUGAGGGCUCUUUACCUGGCCAUCGUUGUCAUGAUGCUGAUUGCCACUGCCAUGGUUGAAGGAUACAAAGGCCCGAGCUGUAAAGAAUAUGGCGGCAUCUGUAAUCCAAAGAGCUGUGCAAAGGGCUAUAGCUCCUACUCUACCUACGACUGCAAAACCUGCUGUGGUGGCUACUACUACAAGGGCUGAAGUGGAGGGCUGAGAAGGGCUGAGAGAACAUGAUCCCACUGCUCAGCUGUCAAGAAGGCAUUCUAUCUGUUCCUCCUCAAUAAAUGCAUAAAUACAUUCCCCUCCCUUUUGACAAGGACCCCUGAUUAAUGUACUAUAGCUGAUCCCUGGUGUCUGUGACUUGCUACAGGCUUUUAAGAGUGCUUAGAUAGGAAAAUGCUGAUUGUGCAUAUUUAUGCCCAUGUAUGUAAGCAUGUGAAGUGACGUACUAAUGACGAGAUGUAUGUAGAAGCAUGUUCUUUGUCUGAAAAUGUAUAAAAGGCUAUGUCAAUGCCUUGAUCGGGGCUCUGGUUUGCUUUUGGAAGAGAUUCCACUUCCAGAGACUCAGCUGAAUAUAAUAA